ACGGGUGAGUAAUACCUAGGAAUCUGCCUGAUAGUGGGGGAUAACGUUCGGAAACGGACGCUAAUACCGCAUACGUCCUACGGGAGAAAGCAGGGGACCUUCGGGCCUUGCGCUAUCAGAUGAGCCUAGGUCGGAUUAGCUAGUUGGUGAGGUAAUGGCUCACCAAGGCUACGAUCCGUAACUGGUCUGAGAGGAUGAUCAGUCACACUGGAACUGAGACACGGUCCAGACUCCUACGGGAGGCAGCAGUGGGGAAUAUUGGACAAUGGGCGAAAGCCUGAUCCAGCCAUGCCGCGUGUGUGAAGAAGGUCUUCGGAUUGUAAAGCACUUUAAGUUGGGAGGAAGGGUAUUAACCUAAUACGUUAGUACUUUGACGUUACCGACAGAAUAAGCACCGGCUAACUCUGUGCCAGCAGCCGCGGUAAUACAGAGGGUGCAAGCGUUAAUCGGAAUUACUGGGCGUAAAGCGCGCGUAGGUGGUUUGUUAAGUUGAAUGUGAAAUCCCCGGGCUCAACCUGGGAACUGCAUCCAAAACUGGCAAGCUAGAGUAUGGUAGAGGGUAGUGGAAUUUCCUGUGUAGCGGUGA
rnacentral:rRNA from 1 species